UACGUAGGGUGCGAGCGUUAAUCGGAAUUACUGGGCGUAAAGAGUGCGCAGGUGGCUGAGCAAGUCGAGUGUGAAAUCCCCGGGCUUAACUUGGGAAUUGCGCUCGAAACUACUUGGCUCGAGUGUGGCAGAGGAAGGUGGAAUUCCAGGUGUAGCGGUGAAAUGCGUAGAGAUCUGGAGGAACACCGAUGGCGAAGGCAGCUUUCUGGGACAACACUGACGCUCAUGCACGAAAGCGUGGGGAGCAAACAGG
rnacentral:rRNA from 1 species